rnacentral:rRNA from 1 species
UAACACAUGCAGUCGAACGGCAGCACAGGGGAGUUGCUCUCUGGGUGGCGAGUGGCGGACGGGUGAGGAAUACAUCGGAAUCUACUCUGUCGUGGGGGAUAACGUAGGGAAACUUACGCUAAUACCGAAUACGACCUACGGGUGAAAGCAGGGGACCUUCGGGCCUUGCGCGAUUGAAUGAGCCGAUGUCGGAUUAGCUAGUUGGCGGGGUAAAGGCCCACCAAGGCGACGAUCCGUAGCUGGUCUGAGAGGAUGAUCAGCCACACUGGAACUGAGACACGGUCCAUACUCCUACGGGAGGCAGCAGUGGUGAAUAUUGGACAAUGGGCGCAAGCCUGAUCCAGCCAUACCGCGUGGGUGAAGAAGGCCUUCGGGUUGUAAAGCCCUUUUGUUGGGAAAAGAAAUCCAGCUGGCUAAUACCCGGUUGGGAUGACGGUACCCAAAGAAUAAGCACCGGCUAACUUCGUGCAGCAGCCGCGUUAAUAUCAGCUGGAUUUCUUUCCCACAAAGGGCUUUACAACCCGGAG